rnacentral:lncRNA from 1 species
UCCAGGAUAUGGAUCGCUAGAUCCCUCCUAUCCAAAGAGAGGCACCGCUUCUCCUUGGGAAGCUGCCAGUACUUGCUGAAGCCGUCCAAGAGCUGGCACAAGCUGAAGAGGAGUGGAAACGGGGAGCAGGUCUGGAGCCAGUAUUCCUCUCGGCACGCGUUUGCCUCUAGAGUCUGGAUGAAGAUCCUCAGACUGAGGUCUACCUCUUCAACAUCUAACCUCAAGAAAGGCAGGACAAAUUCCUUCAGCACCUCGUCUGGCUCAAGAAGAGCAGCCACUGGAAUCCCUUGGGGUUUCACGGGACUCAUCAGGCAGUUCAGGAGCUCUAAAAAUUGCUUUUCUUCCUUGGGUGUAGAGAACUUCAUCCAGACGGUUUCUUUGAGGCAUGACACCAUGAAAGUGGCAGAUGAAUUGGGACCCUGCUCUUCCACAAACCUAAGGGCAGGGAAGGCAGUGAGAAUAAUGUAGCACACUUCCAUAUGGCGGUCCAUCUUCUGCUGGAUGAUGGCCAUGGCAAUGGAAGCCGUGAUGUCCUCCAAGGCCCUGUUCUUCAGCACCGUGCUCGUUUUCCUCAGGAAGUCCCUGACACACUCCGCCAGCUCAGAGACCACCUGCCUGUCCUCCUUGGACAGGCUGGUGCGGUUCAGGUAGAGCGUCGCGUUCUGGCUGAAGGAAGUCAGACUGUCGCACAGCCGGUAGCUGUCGUAACUUGUCCCCUGGCUGCUGCGGAGCACGGCCUGCAACUCCUCCCCCCACUCCCGCAGCAGGCGGUGCAGGAACUCGCAGCCCACGAAAAUGGUCUCACUGGGGAGUUUGGCCAGCGAGGUCAGGCUGACAUCCCGUUCUGCCUCUUUCACCUUCUCUGCCAGCGCCUGCUGGUGGUAGGGAUUCUGGGUGUCCGAGUUCCACACGGAGAUCACCGUGGCCAGUUUGUCCAGAUACACGGUUGCAGACACCUCCUGGGGGUCGUCCUCUGUCAGCGCAAACACAGUCAGCAUGUCAGCCAGGUUGGCCAG